CUGGGCUCAUGUGUUGGGCCACUGACACUUAUGAGCCUAAUGGGUCAUAUCUGAGCCCGGGUCAUUUGACCCAAUACCCGACCCGGUCCGUUUCAUUUUGUUAUUUGUAAAUAUAUGUGUGGUGUAGGUGAGAAGCUUCAAGACUCAGAUAUUUUUCAUUUCCCAACAACCGACUCCUCGGUUCUCUCAAUCUCUCCUCCUUCUCUCUACUUUCUCUCUCUAGUUUCUCUGUGAUUUUAUCGAUUAAUCUGAAUAUUGACAUGGUAUCAGAGCCUUACAACGAUCCGAUCAUGUUUAUUUGCAUAUCGGUGUCACUUUUGAGUAUUUGUUUGACGAUUUUUGAGGAUUUUUCUGAGAUCGAAUGGUCAGUGAUGAUUUCGUUUUUGAUCGGACAUGGUUCAAAGUGUUCUACACCAUAAUAUACGGGUGAAUCUUCUUAACCUCAACGUUUUAACAACGUUUUGAUCGAUUUGGGUGAUUUCUGGUGAGUUAUCGGUAUCUAGGGUUUUUGGUGGUUUUGACUUGCUGGUUU
rnacentral:lncRNA from 1 species